UACGUAGGGUGCAAGCGUUAAUCGGAAUUACUGGGCGUAAAGCGUGCGCAGGCGGUUAUGUAAGACAGGCGUGAAAUCCCCGGGCUUAACCUGGGAAUUGCGCUUGUGACUGCAUAGCUAGAGUAUGUCAGAGGGGGGUAGAAUUCCACGUGUAGCAGUGAAAUGCGUAGAGAUGUGGAGGAAUACCAAUGGCGAAGGCAGCCCCCUGGGAUAAUACUGACGCUCAUGCACGAAAGCGUGGGGAGCAAACAGG
rnacentral:rRNA from 1 species